UCCACCCUCAAGCUUGGCUUGGCAUUGGGUCGCGUCGGGGCUGGCCCCGACGGACCUCAAAGAGAGUGGCGGAUCCCCGGGUAGACCCCCAGACGUAGCGAGCUUCUUCAGCACGCGUUGGGGGGUUCUCCGGCUCCACCUCGACCCCACAGACUUUACCGGUUGACCUCGGAUCAGGUAGGGAUACCCGCUGAACUUAA
rnacentral:misc_RNA from 1 species